rnacentral:rRNA from 1 species
CGGGUUGUAAAGCUCUGUCGAGCGAGACGAAAAACUAGUCGGUGAAUAGCCGAUUAGUCUGACGGUACCGCUAAAGGAAGCACCGGCUAACUCCGUGC